UGCUCCCUGACCUCCAUCAGCACUUGGGUUUUCGAGGCAUUGAGGGGGGCAUAGUUGCGAAAUCUUUCUGGUGGAGAACCCCGUCGAACUCUGCGGUCCGGACUUCUCUGCCUAUGUACCCGGGGAGGAGUAUGGACAUGCUUGUGCCCGGGAGGAGUUCGAGAACGUGGCCGAGCUUCUUUCGGCCCUUUUUCGACUGCGAGCUUACUCGAGUCUCCCGCCUGCCGCUCUCUCGCAGUCUCCUCAUCCUUCAUUUUGAAGGCUUCUUCUGCUCGGGCGUACCCUUCGGCCCGAGCCAACAGAUCAGCAAAA
rnacentral:lncRNA from 1 species